GCCACGGUGGUCUAGCGGUUAGACGCUGGCCUUGUAAUCCUGGGGUCUCGGGUUCGAUUCCCGGCGGUGCCC
rnacentral:tRNA from 1 species